UCACUUAUUACUCACCAAGUCAACACCUUCCCGACCCACUCUCAUUAUCUCUCACCUCACUCACGCGCAGGACCUCCCGUUCGAUCCCCUCUCACGCUCGCGAUGCCGCCGCCUGCCUCUCCGGUCGCUGCCGGGCGUCUCCGGCGCCUCCGCUACGCCGGCGCCCCGGAAUCCUCUUCUGGUUUACGGUUUACCGCCGCCGCGAUUCGCUAUCGCACCCCUCCCACAACCCCGCGAAACCCUAGCCCCAUUGUUCGGUGCUGGCGCCGGCGCGGCGCCCGUUCACCCGCGCCUCCGGCUGCGCCUCCACGUCGAUCUCGGUCGACCACGCUGCCUCAGCGACCUCUUGGACCCCGCGCCCAGGUCCUUCUCAGCACCAUCAACCGCGAGCUGCCGAUGCCGUCGACCUUGGUCGCUCUGCACCCCACUCCAACGUGCUCGUCGACGUGCUGCCUCCCGUGGCGCUCUUCAGCAUCUCGCUGCUCGGGUCUUCGGUGAAACUAACGUUUUAUUAUACUCGGCUCCUUAUAUCCAAUUUGGAGACCUUGCUCUCCACUGCUGUUGCAAUAAUGCAAGUGAGAAAGAAGGAACAAAUACGUGUCUCAACUCUUAGCAAGCCAGAAGUUGUCCACUUGGUAUGGGAACUUCCGCUUUCUUAAUAUACCGAUUUUCUGUAGAGCACUCGAAAGUUCUGACCUUUCAUUCUUGCGCGUCUACCUUUAGCACUUAAUCCCUCUCAAUCUUGUUAUAUUUGUUUUCAUGAUAUGCUGAAUUCUCAAGCCCUGUAACUCGGUUUUGUCAAACCAUUCUUCGUGAUUAGAACUGCAUGAUAAUAUGAUAUGCAUGAUUACUGCUCUUUCCUAAGUGAAUCUAUUUUUUUCCUUGCAAAUUCUCAGCUGAUUGACUUUGAAAGCUUUGUCUUGUAUUAUCCCUUUUUAGUAUGAAACUAUGGUUUGUAAUAUCUACAGUACCCCAUGCUGCAAUCAAUUUCCUUCUAAAGUGACUUUUGAAUAGUUUUGUUCUUUCUUACUCUUGCGAGUGUUCUGAUUUCAUGUCUAGCUUCAGUUUUCUUGUCAUCUUUAGUCAGCAAAAUUCUAUUUUAGCAUGCGGAGUUAGAAAAAUUAUGGUAAUUAUUCCGUCAUGUAAUGAACUAAUUUUUCCUGCUAUUACAGGUUGAUAUGAGAUCAUGCUUACCAAAAGCAAAAUUCAUGUUCCUGAUAUUAUUGUGAGUAUCCUUUGUGGGUUAACUAAUCUUACUCUGAAAAAAGGAGGCACGUUGAUUUCCUUCAGUGGGAUAGUGAUUACUUAUGUCAUUUUGAGUAUCUAAAUCUUUGUAUUCACUUUUUUUUUUUCAUUUUCCAUGUUCUGCUCUUUUAAUUCUGACUAUCUUCGUUUGCAUGAUCUCAUAUAUACUCUUGCUCAACGUGAUGUACAUUGUAUCUCUUGAGAAAUACCUUACAACACUGGUUUCCUUCAAGUAGCCACACUGUAAGCCUUGGAUUAAUGUGAAUCAUCUAUACUCUUGCUUAUUUGUAUUCUGGCAAUGUAUUGUUCUAUUUAUAUUCAAACUUUUACUUAAUGUUUUCAUUGUUAGUACAGUCAGUAAGACCUGUUUUUUCAAUGAAACAACAUUCUUUACUGGAAGCUUCAACUGGCAACGAAGACGAAGGCGAAAUUGAUGACAAGAACUCAUUCUGCAGCAGCUUCGACAUCGGAGAGAAAGACAUGAACUAUCUCGGGUUGGAGCUUCUGUCCUUGGCCUUGGUAACAAAGAUCAAAUCUGCUGACUCAUUGUUGGUAUAGUUACAUAAGAUAGACACUUCAUUUGUAAUUGCUGUCACUGUAAUUUGUGAUGUUAUUGUAAGGAAUUCAGCGUAAUAUUAAUUAUUAUGCAAUAUUGUUAUUUUUAA